UCUCCGUUGGUGAACCAGCGGAGGGAUCAUUACCGAGUUUACAACUCCCAAACCCAACGUGAGCCAUACCAAACUGUUGCCUCGGCGGGGUCACGCCCCGGGUGCGUCGCAGCCCCGGAACCAGGCGCCCGCCGGAGGGACCAACCAAACUCUUUCUGUAGUCCCCUCGCGGACGUUAUUUCUUACAGCUCUGAGCAAAAAUUCAAAAUGAAUCAAAACUUUCAACAACGGAUCUCUUGGUUCUG
rnacentral:misc_RNA from 1 species